rnacentral:tRNA from 1 species
GCCGGGGUGGCGGAACGGCAGACGCAUCGGACUUAAAAUCCGAGGGGCUUCGGCCCGUGUGGGUUCGACUCCCACUCCCGGCA